rnacentral:lncRNA from 1 species
ACACCUCUGAAUAUUUUAGAAAUGGUACACUGUUGUUCUUUGAUCACUGAUUAAAUUAUCAAAAGCUUGCUGAAUAUAUGAUUAUUGUAUCUUUCUGAUAGACUGACUAUUUUAUCUUUAUAAAAUGUUCCUCUUUAUCAUUAGAAAUAUUUUUUGGUUUUAAAGUCUACUUUAUCUAAUAUUAGCACAGCCACUUCAGCUCUUUCAUGGUUACUUUUUGCACAGUAUAUAUUUUUCCAUCUGUUACAUACAAAGUAAGUCCCUUCAACCAGAACUAUGAAGCCCUUCAUCCUCAUGGUUUGCCUUCCCUUUGGGCAGAACCUUAGCACCACUGCAACAGAGCUGGGAAUGGUGGUCUCUGGUCUUCUCUGCUUGCCACUCCUAGUGUGGAACCUCUGUAAUCCAAAAGAGUUGGGCUGGCAAGCAAAGCUUUGUCCGGAAGCAGAAAAAAGACAGAGGGUUCCUGUUUGCACAGUACUCACCUGACUCAUUGAGUUCCCUUUAAGUGUGAGGAAACAAAUACAGGAGUCAGGUCUAGGAGGGUGGUCGAAUCAAUGGAUAGGCAUCAAUUACAUGGCCAGCCAGCUGCUAAGGUUCUAAAAUUUCAUUAGUUUUGAAAUAAAGCAACACUCCUUUUGAAAUUUUUUGCCUUAUGAAUGUUAUGUUGAGAUUUAGGCACUAUGUGUAUGAAUCAGAAAGUAUUAUGAAUGAUUUAAAAAUAGUUGAAAGAAAAAGGAAAAAGAAAAGAAGUUGGUGUCAACUCUCAACCAUUAAGAUUAUCUCUACCUUUGGUUGUUUUGACUAUACUAUUUAGAAAACUGAUAGUAAUGAAAAUGUUUCUUGUUCAAAGUUAUGCAAAUAAUUCCUGUUCAUACAAAUGCAAAUAGACUUUGUCCAAAGGAAAAUAUAAAUUGUUGUAAGUUAAAUUCUCCUUUUAACCAGUCGUAACAUCUUACUGGUUCUCAUUAAUUAAAAAGUUAAAUAAAAUUUUUGACAUAUAUUCAUUUCAUAUUUGUAGGAGUCAUAAUUUUCUCUUUUUAAAAAUAUUAUCCAUUAACACAAAUAUUGAACAUUAUUUGGACAACAUUAUUGCUGUUAUCCUGAUCUUUCUGUCCUUUAUUAGUUUUCUCUCCUUUCCUAACCUUUCUUUCCUUUUCACUGAGCUUAAUCUGCAGGGCAAGAAAUAAACAAUAGCAGACACAUUGAACAUAGAUGAUGCACAAGGGAAACAAUGGCGAUCAUCAUCAGAAUACUGUCAUGUCAAGAAGAAGCCAUGUUACUGAGAAGAAUGUUACUAAAACUUUUAAUGUCAUAUGCUAAAGGCCUCAACAAUGUCUACGUCUUGAUCCUGGAACAUUUUUCUCUGAUUUUCUUAACCAACAAUUCAAUGAUAAUAAACAUUCAAGCAGCAUGAAGGAUUUAAUCAACACUUGCAUAAAUGCAUCAGAAAACACACUGUAUAAGCAGAGAUAACUUCCUGUCAUGGCAGGGUACAGCUUCAACAGGAGAGGACUGACUCAGAGAGACCAAGACCACAAGUCCAGCUAAGCAGAAGACAUGUGGAAGAUCCUCUAUGAUGAGAAAUAGACAAGGAGGCCAAUCUGAAAAGGUCAAGAAGGCAGGGGUAGCAGGCUCGGAGCCGCAGAAAGGCAGGGAUUAUCUAUGGCAUAGGAGCCUAGUGAAAUCAUAAGAAUAGCAUUGAAGAAGAGGGUUGGGGGUUUCAGACUCUAAGAAGAGUGGGAUGUUUUAACAACCUGCUGAACACAACUGUCUCCGGAUUCAGAAAUGUUGAUCGUGGCUUCAAGACGGGCAUAUACACAAGAAUUAAUUCACCUCCUGAUUAAGGCAUGGAUAUAGAAUCUAGGAUUGAUAGUUUUCAUGGCAAACAAUAAUAAUUAAUAACAGUCAAUAAGUAUAUCGCCCUUCAUAAGUACUUUGCAUAUAUUUACUAAUUUAAUCUUCACUAAAACCCUGUGAGAUAGAUACUAUUAUUAUUCCCAAUUUGCAGAUCAGAAAAAAAUAGAUGCAGAGGAUUUUAGUAACUUACCCAAAUCAUAUAAGUAGUAGAGCUAGAUUUGAAACCCAGCAGUCUGUACUCCUAAGCACAACAGUUUGCCACUGCCAUUCAUUUUACUUUCCAAGAGGCUGCAAUGACUGAGCUCAUCUCUUCCUAUUUUAUACUCUCAUUUCCCUAUCUAACCUGUUUUACCCUGAUUUUCCCUGUCUCUUAUAUCAUGAAUAUCAGGUUGGAUAUUCAUGUGGAACCUGAACAAUAACUGCAAAUACAUGGAAUGUGCCCUGCCCCUCCUCCUCCGAACCCAUUUGUUUAAGUUGAAAUGAGGAAGGACUCUUGUUUUAGGUUCAAGGGGAGAUUUGACUCUUGAAUGUCUGAACUGUGUAAAGGGUAUGAGGGAUGUGGGUGUGUGAAUGUGUGUGUGAGUGUGUGUAUAAAGGGCAGAGGGUGGAAUAUGGAAGGUAGAAAUUAGCGAAUAGCUGAAGGUUGAAGGUAGAAGCUAGAAAGGCUAUGUUUAAGAGGAACUCCAUGAGACUUAACGAUUUACACAGGCCUAGUAAAGCCCAAGCGCUAAAAUGUGGGACAGUUAUGGAGGGGGCAGCAGAAUGGUCUGAGAUGCUCAGCACGGCACCAGCACCAGCGACAGUGCUGAGACACUUCCAACAGUGACUCAUGAGCAGCUGACAUCAGAGACAAAAGCAGAUUAAUGGGAUUCUUCUUCAGACUUUAUAAGAACCCUCCCAGAGAUGCCUAGAAAUAAACAGGGGAGAUUUAAAAUGGGAGAAGGAAAAAAUUGAUGUCCCACAGUUGUACAGAAAAGCGCUACAAAGCAGCAAAAUGCAGGCAUUAAUGUUAAUGUGGCUUCAUUGCUUGCAGAGAAUGGUGAGGCCUGCAGAUAUCCUAGUUUGCUGUAUACAAAGGAAUAGGGAAGAGUAAGUGCAAUGCAACAUAAACCAUCCUGUUCCAUCAUGUCAAACACAGCUGCUGACAUAUUCUGCUAAUAAAGGGCAACAUAGACAUUUUACCAGAAUUGCUUAUAAUCUAUUGGUGCCUUUUUUGAGGUUUAUUUUUGUAAUUAUUGCAUAAAUAUUUAAUUCUAGCCAUAUACUAAAGUUGCUGUCCUUUUUAUUAGGGAAUUCUAUCUCUUAUUGUGCAAUUUUUUUGUGCUUUUUUCUCACUAGUAUUGACAUAUGGUACCCAACCUUGUCACUCUAGACAAGGUUCAAUUCAAGUCCUAAAGAAUUCAACUGUGACCUUUUAAUUGUCCCACUGAGCUUGUGCUUUCUUUGUUUGCCUAAAGUCAGAUUCCAAGGAUCAGGUUACAUGGGAUAAAAAACAGAAUAAGCAUUUUUGAUCUAAGCUAAUGUGACUGGACCUUAUGUAAUAGCCCUGCUGUCCUCCCAUUUUCUAUUUUGCACAUAUCUUUUCUGGUCAUCAGCUAUAACAGGCAAUCUUAGGGGGGAAACAGCCUUUUAAAAUUUCUCAAAAGGAUGAAGUAUGAGCAGAUGUCCAAGAGAAAGAUAAAAUAACAUUGCAAGUAAAAUGUAGAGAUUUAUUGAUUCACUUUAGCAAGCUGUAAUAGAAAAUGUUGAGAACCUUAGUGUAUAACACUAAAAGAGAAAGGUAAAAAGUCUCAUUUUCAUCCCAUUGUGUUCAAUAAAUCAUGUAGUUCCAGUUGCUUUCAACAAGUUUCUUUACUUUGAGUUGUCAUUAGUGUCAAGUUCAAUUCAUCAUAUGCAAAAUACUUUCUCCUAUAUAUAUUAUUAUAUGUAGAUAAACAUAUUAUAUAUAAGUAUUUACAUGUUGAUUUGUAGAAUGUAACAUUUCAUGUUAAAAUAAAGCUAU